UGAGCUGGCUCAUUAUUGCAGAAGAAGGGCCUGCUCUAAUUCCUGCUGGUAGAAGUGAAGGCUGUGUUUCUUUUCUGAUAGAUGCCUUAUGAUUGUGGAGAGGUUAUUUAUUUUAGGAUAUACACUGUUAUGCUUUUUACUUGUUUUUUUUUUUAGCCACAUUUUUUGCUUUGUGCUGUUGUUGCUAGAAACAGGAAUGAAAUUCAGUUGAAGGCCCUGCAUAUAACUUUAAUUUGCAGUACUGUCUUUCCAAUAUUAUGAACUGAUCACCUCUGUUCUGCUGAGGCACGGAAGCUGAUGCUGAUAGAGAAGCUGUCCUCUGCUUCGUUCACUCAGGAAAGAUAUCACUCUACAGCAGUAACUUCCACAUAACUGCAGGGAGUGUUUUGAUAAACCACAGAAGCAGAGCAAGCCAUGUGCACAAAGCCACAGCUGGACUAGUUAGGGGCUUGCUCAGAAAUUGCCUGGGACCUCUUUGGAAGGUGCUUGAAGAGAGCUCUGGGCCUCCAUCAAGUCCUGCUCACGCCCUGUAGACUCAGAGCAUUUCUUUCACUCUGUUAUCAUAAUAUCUUUGAGAAUCAUUACUGUCUUUUGUAGGGAUCAUUAUAUUAAAAUAAAUUAUAUUUAUA